rnacentral:rRNA from 1 species
UACGAAGGGGGCUAGCGUUGCUCGGAAUCACUGGGCGUAAAGCGCACGUAGGCGGCUUUUUAAGUCAGAGGUGAAAUCCUGGAGCUCAACUCCAGAACUGCCUUUGAUACUGAAAGUCUUGAGUAUGGGAGAGGUGAGUGGAACUGCGAGUGUAGAGGUGAAAUUCGUAGAUAUUCGCAAGAACACCAGUGGCGAAGGCGGCUCACUGGCCCAUUACUGACGCUGAGGCACGAAAGCGUGGGGAGCAAACAGG